rnacentral:pre_miRNA from 1 species
UUUUAUGGAUGAACAAAGAAAGUUUAUUGACAUGGAAUCUAUUCUGGUAAAGAUGCUGUGAA